rnacentral:rRNA from 1 species
AGCGAACGCUGGCGGUAGGCCUAACACAUGCAAGUCGAACGGCAGCACAGUAAGAGCUUGCUCUUACGGGCGGCGAGUGGCGGACGGGUGAGGUAUACAUCGGAAUCUACUUUUUCGUGGGGGCUAACGCAGGGAAACUUACGCUAAUACCGCAUACGACCUACGGGUGAAAGCAGGGGAUCUUCGGACCUUGCGCGAUUGAAUGAGCCGAUGUCGGAUUAGCUAGUUGGCGGGGCAAAGGCCCACCAAGGCGACGAUCCGUAGCUGGUCUGAAAGGAUGGUCAGCCACACUGGAACUGAGGCACGGUCCAGACUCCUGCGGGAGGCAGCGGUGGGGAAUAUUGGGCAAUGGGCGCAAGCCGGAUCCAGCCAUACCGCGUGGGUGAAGAAGGCCUUCGGGUGGUAAAGCCCUUUUGUUGGGAGAGAAGAGCAGCAGGUUAAUACGCCGCUGUUCUGACGGUACCCGGAGAAUAAGCACCGGCUAACUUCGUG